CAAAUUUCACCUCCAUCACUAUCCACAUCUGCCUAUCUCCUUUGUUGCCUCAGGUGCUCCCUCUCCUAAGAAACUCACCAAGCUAAAUUCUGGGUCUCUAAUCUGCUUGCAUUGUGAAGAUGAACAAGUGUUUGAAUGUUUUUGGCAUUAACAAAUUUCAGAACAACAAACUGAUGAACUGGUACACUGUGGUAAUAUCUACAUUUUGCUACCCCUUGUACACUGCACGCCAUGGAUGCAUGUAUUCUUUCAGUGUGAGCUUGUAGGUAUAUGACAUGUUGUUGCUAUAAAUAUGUCUUGCGCCUUAAUUCUUGCAGAUUGAAUAGUAGAAGGUAGUCAAAGGCAAGAAUUGUGCAACCGACUCUUAUGCAUAAAAAUGUUAGCAUUAUAACUGGCUUCCAUUGCAACCUUGAUCAACAUGAAGUUCUUCCUUUACAACGUGUUGAUAGCAGGAGCCAAUUGAUUGCAAGACCAGGAGGAUUCUUAUUUGGAUGGAAGGGUCAUUUUGGUGACAUUGUAUGGUUAUGUAUCACAAUCAAGGGGAUUUGUAAACAUGUUUCGUUCAUAUGAAAUUUCGAGGUCUUGAAAUUGAUUAGUGAUCUUUUUUGGA